GACGAACGCUGGCGGCGUGCUUAACACAUGCAAGUCGAACGAUGAACCGAGAGCUUGCUCUUGGGGAUUAGUGGCGAACGGGUGAGUAACACGUGAGUAACCUGCCCUGGACUCUGGGAUAACCCCGAGAAAUCGGAGCUAAUACCGGAUAGGACCUUGCACCGCAUGGUGGGGGGUGGAAAGUUUUUUCGGUUUGGGAUGGACUCGCGGCCUAUCAGGGAGUUGGCGGGGUAACGGCCCACCAAGCCUACGAUCAAUAGCCGAUGUGAGAGCAUGAUCAGCCACACGGGCACUGAGACACGGGCCCGACUCCUACGGGAGGCAGCAGUAAGGAAUAUUGGGCAAUGGACGCAAGUCUGACCCAGCCAUGCCGCGUGAAGGAUGAAGGUCCUCUGGAUUGUAAACUUCUUUUAUCUGGGGCGAAAAUCGGGUAUUCUUAUCCGCUUGACAGUACCAGAGGAAUAAGCACCGGCUAACUCCGUGCCAGCCGCCGCCGUAAAAC
rnacentral:rRNA from 1 species